GAUGAACGCUAGCGAUAGGCUUAACACAUGCAAGUCGAGGGACCGGCGCACGGGUGCGUAACGCGUAUGCAACUUGCCUCACAGAGGGGGAUAACCCGUCGAAAGACGGACUAAUACCGCGUACUGUGAGAUAGUCAUGCGUCCCAUUAGCUAGUUGGUGAGGUAACGGCUCACCAAGGCGACGAUGGGGAGGGGUGCUGAGAGGCAGGUCCCCCACAUUGGGACUGAGACACGGCCCAAACUCCUACGGGAGGCAGCAGUGAGGAAUAUUGGUCAAUGGAGGAAACUCUGAACCAGCCAAGUCGCGUGAAGGAAGAAUGUCUAAGGAUUGUAAACUUCUUUAGCGAGCGAGUAAGUAGCUCGAGAAUAAGUAUCGGCUAACUCCGUGCCAGCAGCCGCGGUAAUAC
rnacentral:rRNA from 1 species